UGGGGAAUCAUGGUCAAUGGGCGAAAGCCUGAACCUGCGACGCCGCGUGAGUGAUGAAGGUCGUAAGAUCGUAAAACUCUUUUCAGGGAUCUUAAAGCCUGUCUGUCAACAACAGGCAGGUCUGACUCUCCCUGGAAGAAGCCCCAGCCAACUACGUGCCAGCAGCUGCGGUAAUACGUAGGGGGCGAGCGUUAUUCGGAAUUACUGGGUGUAAAGGGUAUGUAGGCGGCCUUUCAAGUCGCGUGUCAAAGUCCAGGGCUCAACGCUGGGGGUG
rnacentral:rRNA from 1 species